UCUCCCAGAGAGGCCGGAAGCCGGAGGCUUCCGCCCUCGGUGGCUACGCCGCUUCCGGCCGGAUGGUGUGGUGGCGGUGAGGCCGGUGCGCUCCCCGAGGGCCGGCCCGGCGGCCCCGGCUGAUGUCCGCAGCGCCCGGGCCUCACGUCUCUCCGGCUGCUGCCGAGGUUUAGGAACGGAGUUCCGAGAUGAAGGCGGCGGCGCCGGGAAGACGCCGGUUUGGGAGCAGGAGGUUUGACGUCAGAAUUCACCGGCAGCGCCCGUUCUCCUUCGGAAUUCGUAUUUCCGUGCUUCACUCGGUGGGUUUCCAGAUGAUGGGUCAGCUUUAACCCCAGUAAAGCCUUCAGCAGCCUUUCGCAUUUGUGUACGUUAAUGACUCGUCUUGCCUCAGGAGUAGCCCGAAAAACACCCCCAAAGCCAGUCUCCCACAUUCUCCAGCCUGUGCCGUAAUACGUGUUGCCUCGGUGACAGCCCGUAGUGGCUGCAGCCUUGGCUCCCGACCCUGAAAGAGCAGGACCGCGCUAGGAGCCAAGAAUGUGUGCUGUGCCGGAAGAACCCCCAACAACCAGGACGCAGCCACUGCUGCUCCUGACUUUGGGCGUUUCUGUUACCUGGGGACGCCUGCACCCUGGGAGGCCUCCGCCCCAACCCUAUAGAGGACCUCUGGCGGCAGUGGCGGAUGUCCCGCCGCCGAGGAGCAGAUCCUGACCAUCCUGCCCGCGGAGCACCAGGCCCGGGUGUUAGAGCAUCAGCCAGAGAGCAGGGAGGAGGCGGCGAUCGCGUGGGGGCUUUGCAGAGAGAGCUCCACGAAACAGGUUGUAGCCAGGACAGGUGGAAUAGGAGUGUGUUCAGAGUUUCCUCACCAGGCAGCACAGAAGCCACCAGCUAUUCUAGGCCAAGAAACAUGUAGACUUCCAGGCCAUUCAUGAACAAGCAUUCCAGCUUGGGCAGCACUAGCAGAGGACGUGAUGCGGAAUAACAUAACGCUGUCGUCCCUAUUAUCUGACUCGUGAGGAAGCUGUACAGCAUUCCUAACCUCAUUGAACAACCUUUUCAGACUGCUCUCAUAACGUUUAUCUUUACUUAAAGCUAUUUGUGUUUUCAUCAUAUGUAAUCAUAGCCUAACCUCUACUGUACAUUUAGUACUUGCUCUGUAAAGCAGAACUCACUCUUUUGUAUUAAAAUGACCUUUUCUGAAUUUCCCACAUCCUUUGAAGCCAUUUUGUACCUCUUUUCUGUUCCCUGUGAUGGCAGCUACAUCAUCUGCCUCAUCUUUCAGACUCCUCAAACCCUGUUUGUUUGGUUUUUCCCUUGGUCCCUGCUGUCUUUAGUUAAAAAAGAUUCUAAAAUAUCUUAGAUUUCUCUUUUUAGUAUUAUCUCCUUAUUGGCCCUGUUCCCUCUAGUACAUUUGAAUUUAUCCUGACCAUCAAUUAAAAACAAAUUUUUCAGGGCACUUAGGUGGCUCAGUUGGUAAAGUGUCCAAAUUCGGCUCAGGUCAUGAUCUCACAGUUUGUGAGUUCAAGCCCUGCAUUAGGCUCUGCACAGUCAGUGAGGGGAUUCUCUGUCACUUUCUCUCUGCCCCUCCGCCGCUUGUGUGCACCUGCUCCCCCCACCCUGCCAAUAAGUAAAUAAACUUUAAUGAAAAAAAGAAAACAAAUUAUUUUUCUUUGUCACUUUCAACUGCGAUCCCCAAACUUACUGCUUAUUUUCAUCAUCAUCUACUUUUGACACCCAUUGUUACUCUCAUUAUUCAAUCCAACUCUCUUUGAUUGUCGCUCUAUUUGUCUCUUUCCUUGCCCACUUCGUCCCAUAAUUCUGUACCUACAGAAUGGGAGAAAAUAUUAAAACGCAGAUGGGGUGCCUGGCUGACUCAGUUGGUACAGCAUGUGACUGUUGAUUCAAGCCCCACAUUGGGCACAGAGCCUACCUUAAAAAAUAAAACACAGGCAGAGGAGGCAAACAUACAUUUUUCC
ensembl:lncRNA